CUCCACCCCCUGCCUUUGGCACAUUAUAUACCCACACGCAGUCCAGCUGGGAGAGUGUUCAACAUGCUGCUGCUGAUUCACAGUGCAGACUAUUAUAACACUGCACAGCAGAGAAAGAGAGGAGGACUGCACAGGGACUUCGGAUGUUUUGUUGCUGGCCAUGCUCCUUUUGCACGUAGGGAUGUUUUGUUGCUGGCCAUGCUCCUUUUGCACGUAGUUUCACAUCGGACUGUUUAGAUCUAGGCUUCAUCUCUUCUCAAGCCAGUACUGGAUUCGGAGUACAGUAGAGGAAGUUUCCACCUGGCUUCCAAUAGCCUCACUGGCUUCUAAUUUUUUAAAAAUGGGCUGUACCACAGGGCACCUGGCAUGCCAGCCCCAGCCUUCUUCAAACACCAACCAGGAGGGACAGACUCCGGAGGGGGCAGCCAAAGUCCCAGAGGUCCUGUCUUCUUUAGAGAAGCUUUCUCAGGCCACAGGGGGCAUGGAAAAAUCUUGGUAUCGCUGCAUCUUCCCCUUUGGAAUCAUCUCACUGGUAAUUGGUAUAGCUGGCACGAGCGUGACCUACACCUACAACGAUCUCCCACAGACCAAGGUGGUCUCUGUGGUCUUGCUGAUUGUCGGGCUGGUCCUGAUGGUAAUGGCUACUGCCUGUUGGACAACACAUAAGAAGAAACGCAGGAAAAAGAAAGCAGGAGAACCCUUUACCACUGAACCGUGUCCCCUGUGAGGAGAGACUACAAGGACGAAGAUGCUUUUGAUUGAGAACACAGGGAGUUGUGAUGCCACCUUGCCUUUUGUUUAGCAUUUCUUUUUGCCAAACUUCGGUCCAUGUAUUCACUCAGGUAGCAGCAGUGUGAACAUGGAAAAAGGACAGAUGGACAAUGUGUUCAGGACACCCAGGGAGCCAUGCAACCCAGUGGACAAGUAUGAGGGUUCGCACAUGGUUUACUGCCACUCAGCAAGUGUCUAGUGUCAAAACAACUCCAGAGCCACAUGCACAUUUAAGACACUUAACGCUUGGGCCGUAACACCAAGCCACUGCUGAAGUCAGUGCUGCCGUCAACACAGCCGUCAGUCCCCUGCAUUCCUGCCUUUGGGGUCAAAUGUCUCUCCAAGGCUAGCAAAGAAGUGAUCCAGAGAAGGCAACCAGACACCGCGACAAAAAGCAGAGCUGCAACCCCGUAAUCGUUGCACGUCAUUCCCCUGUCCUGUGACACUACAGCAAUGUGUGAGCUUUUUACGCAAUGGGAGAGUGGAACCUGAGCUGAGCCUCAACUAGUCCUUACUGGUGAGAGAUGGCAUGAGCAGGAAACAUUGUGUGUGUGUGCAGCCAGGAAGAUUAAGAACAAGCAUGCUGCAUGCUAUUCCACUUCCACUUCUCUGUCAGAGUUUUACAAUGUCAGGCUGGGUGCAGUGUUCACAUAUAGAGCAGUGACCACAUUCCUGGAAGCCUAUCUUCUUACUGAAUUCAGUUCCUGUCUGCGAUCGAUCGAGCUGAACUGACUAGGCAAGUAGAUUGAUUAUCUGUAGCACGUGUGUUGCAUUAGAGUUGGAACUGAAUUCUAUAGGAAGGUGUGCUCCUAGGUCUACCCAAAGCAGAAUAGGUGAGGAUUAAUCUAUAGGAUUUCUGAUAUUCUCACCAUUUGUGUAAACCUCUGUUUUCUUCACUGUAAGUCUGUGCCUCGAAUCAUCUGAGGAAAUAUACAAGGAAAAAAACCAAAGCCCUUUUUGUUUUGGGUUAGUUGGUGAAAAUCUUGCCUUCAGAGAUGAGACUUCAUUUCUCUGCUUCACAGAGAAUGAUAUUACUAAAGGAGAAAAAACACAAAAGGACACCAGAUGUCAUGACUUGCAUCCAGAGUUUACUUCACUCCUGUGCCUUGAGCAAGUGGGACUCAAGUGGCGUACAGUACCUUCUCACCGUUCUCUUUGGCCUUUUGCUCUUCAUAAACCUAUUGGCCAACAGCAGCUUUUCCAUUCAAGCUAAUCCUGAUUCUCAUGUCAUUUCUGUCUUAAGGGGUUACUUUCCAUCAGUCCCGUCUGCUGCCCUUCUCUUUCACACCCUGCUCAUAAACCCCCCAUUGCUCCAGUUCCAUAAACUGCCAUCAUUCUAGCAUUUCACAUCCAUCCCCAUGGCAGAAAUACCAAUCAUUACACCGUGUCUGGAAUUCUCUCCAUUUGAAGAAAGACCUUCACCCAGGAAUGGACAAACUUCCCCUGCUACUCAGAGCACACGCUACUAAAGAAGACCAGAUCAAAAGACUCUAAAGGAAUGAUUAAGUCAAUGAAUGAAUACGCACUCAAUGUCAAAAUAUCUUUACAUUUUACAAAUUACGUAUGGCCUAAUUUAAAAAAAUAUAUAUUUUGGUAUAUACAUUUAUUUCUGUAUUCAUUUCUUUGUAAUGUAUUCCACAAUUGAUUUAUUUCUGAAUUUAUCUACUACUCUAUGUUUUUAUUCUUGAGG
ensembl:lncRNA